GCUGUGUAACAAACCACUCUAAAAAUUGAGUGACUUAAACCACAAACCCAUUUUAUUGCUCCAAUCCUGUGCUCCAGGACUUCGAGCAGGCUCAGCAGUACGGUCUUAGGACUGUUCCAUGCUAUCCAGGCUAGCUGGACUGGGGCCCUCACACACUUUGGGCCUUGAGGCUGGGCCUUAUCUGCCCGGCAGGAUAACCUGGACGUUAUAUAGCUGUCAGUGUGGCAAGAGAACCCAAAGCCUCAGCCCAGAACUGGAAUAGUGCCCCUACUGUCUCCUCCUAUCCGUCAAAGGCAAUCCCAGGGCCAGCUUCCUUUCAAGGGGAUGGGGAUGUACUUCACCUUUUGAUGAGAGGAGCUUGUGCAAACAGGGACAGCCCGUGUAUGGCCGUCUUUGCAGACAGCACGACACAUGGUGACUUGUUAGUGGCGGAUAUCCAAGUGUUAGGCCAAUAUUAUGGAAAAUCUCACUGAGGCAGCUUUUCUGGAAGGGAAAAGACCCCCUUUAGAAACUGCAUUCAAUUUUGGCUCUUUCAGCCCUUACAGGUAAAUGUGGAAGGUAUUUUAGACGGAAUGGGGUGGUGUCAUUCAUCUAAUCCUGGGGGUGCCAAUGUUCUUGUGAGCUGUGUAACCAGCUGGGUCCAGUACCUGCAUCAUUCACGGGGGCAAGGGUGUGACACUUCCCUUGAUCUAAGCAGUCUGCACAUGCUCUCUGCCAAGGGAGAACCCCAGGCAAAAGAAAGGGGACAGGGGACAUUGACCCCACCAAGGACACAGACGUGUGCCCAAGGAUGUUGCAGAAGCUGCCAACGUGAGUGGGGAAGAGAAGACUAUCUCCAUCAGUCCAAAAUGAUCAACCCAAUGUGCCUCUAACAAAAACAGAUGAUUGGCCUCGCCAAGAUUUUUGCGAGAAAAUAAAGGAAUUUCAUACCUUAACUGCAGGGCACUUAGAAUCGUUUUAUAAAGCUCUUCCACUCACUUGAGCAAGAAGCAAACAUAAAAUCAAGGUGAAAUGUAGGAAUGUGUACUUGGGAAGGAAAAUAAAAUGGAUUAUGACCAGAUGAACAAAAACGAGAGAGAAAGGUAGCUGGACAAGGAGCCUUUAGGGUCCUGCAGCUCCAGAUUCAGUCCUGAGACCGGCAGCCUCAGCAUCACUAGGGAGCUCGUUAGAAAUGCAGGCUUUCAGGCCCCGCCCCAGACCUACUGACUCGAAUCCCAGGUGAUUUCAACGCCUAUAAAGUUUGUCUGGCUGGAGUCCGCAGCCCUGGCUGAGCAAUGGAAUCACCUGGGGAGCUUUGCAAACUGUUCGGGUCCCACACCUGUGGUUCUGAUGUCAUUGGUCUGGGUGCGGUCUAGGCUUCAAGUUUUUGUUUUUGUUUUUUAAGCUCCUCUGGUGAUUCUAAUGGGCUGCAACCUUUGAGAACCACUGGCAGGAGGAAAGGGAGAGGUGAAAGCUGUGGCGGGUGGAGGCCACUAGCGACUGGCCAUUCCCUCCCAAGGCAGAGCCACGUAGUGGGGUGUGACCAGGAUCAAGGAGGCCCGCGGACAUGUAUGGAGUCCUUCCCGCCGGUGCGCGCGGUUGGACACCGACUGCGCAGGCACGCGGGUUCACAGCUGGAGAGGAAUUCUGCCUCUGAGUAAAUAGUAUCUUGAGCCUCACCCAUAUUGAUCUGAUGGUCCUGAGAUGAGACUUUGGUUUUAGAGUUGAUGCUGGAAUGAGGUGAGGGCACAGCGAGAAGGCAGCCAUCUGCAAGCCAGGGUUUUGCCAGACACUGAGCCUGAUGGUCCUUUGAUCUUGGGCUUCUAGCCUCCAGAACUGUAAGAAAAUAAAUCUGUAUUGUUUAAGUCAACCAGUCCAUGGUGUUUUGUAUUGUUUAAGUGACCCAGUCUGUGGUGUCCUCUGAGCUCACUUAAGAUGAUUCUCAAAGGCCUGCUUUGAAUACUGAAACCCGUUACACUU